GACGAACGCUGGCGGCGUGCCUAAUACAUGCAAGUAGAACGCUGAAGAAAGGAGCUUGCUUCUUUUGGAUGAGUUGCGAACGGGUGAGUAACGCGUAGGUAACCUGCCUUGUAGCGGGGGAUAACUAUUGGAAACGAUAGCUAAUACCGCAUAACAGCUUUUGACACAUGUUAGAAGCUUGAAAGAUGCAAUUGCAUCACUACGAGAUGGACCUGCGUUGUAUUAGCUAGUAGGUAGGGUAACGGCCUACCUAGGCGACGAUACAUAGCCGACCUGAGAGGGUGGAUCGGCCACACUGGGACUGAGACACGGCCCAGACUCCUACGGGAGGCAGCAGUAGGGAAUCUUCGGCAAUGGGGGGCAACCCCGUGACCGGAGCAACGCCGCGUGAGUGAAGAAGGUUUUCGGAUCGUAAAGCUCUGUUGUAAGAGAAGAACGUGUGUGAGAGUGGAAAGUUC
rnacentral:rRNA from 1 species